GGUUGGUCUGAAUGCAGUGGUGUUUACAAUAAACUGACCACACGAGUUACAGAUUUCUUUGCUUCUCCUCUGCUCCCACUGCUUUCCAUAACUAGCCUUAA
ensembl:Y_RNA Y_RNA Y RNA